UCCUGCACGAUAUCAUCCGCAUUUCUGGCUGGCUGGUGGAAAACGGCAGGAAUCAAGAUUUUAUGCCUGUUUACUUCCAAAUCCGCUCUGUCCAGCUUGACCGCUCCAUCAAGGGGCUGGAAGACCAUUUCCGUAAGAACAGCUCCUCCACUGGAGUGCCAUAUUCCCCUGCCAUUCAGAACAAAAGGAAGGACACCCCCACCAAAAAGCCACUCAAGAGACCAGUCCUCAUCCCAGGUAAUGUGCGUCUAUGUGUGCGUGUGCUGGCCC